CCAACGGCCCUCUUUAGGGCCACAAAUGUGAUAAUAUCCCAUGUAA
rfam:Caenorhabditis elegans Cosmid ZK131